GAUGCAUUAUUAAAUAUUCAGGGAACUGAGACUGCACCCUGUCUGUCGGGCAAGGAUGCAUUCAUAUUGUAUGACACCUAUGGAUUUCCAGUGGAGAUAACAAAGGAAGUUGCUGAAGAACGUGGAAUCAGUAUAGAUAUGAAUAGCUUUGACAUAGAAAUGGAGAAGCAAAGACAGCUAUCUCAGGCUGCACAUGAUACAGUUAAACUAGCAGUUGAAAAUGGUGCAAACCAUGCUGAAGAUAUCCCUGAUACUGAGUUUCUUGGUUACAAUACUCUCCAUUCCAAGGCAGUGGUUGAGGGUUUGUUGGUAAAUGGUAGUCCUGUAACACAAGUCUCCAAAGGAGGUGAAGUUGAAAUUUUGCUGAACAGGACUCCA
rnacentral:misc_RNA from 1 species